GACGAACGCUGGCGGCGUGCUUAACACAUGCAAGUCGAACGGAAAGGCCCUGCUUUUGUGGGGUGCUCGAGUGGCGAACGGGUGAGUAACACGUGAGUAACCUGCCCUUGACUUUGGGAUAACUUCAGGAAACUGGGGCUAAUAUCGGAUAGGAGCUCCUGCUGCGUGGUGGGGGUUGGAAAGUUUGGCGGUUGGGGAUUGAAUUGGGGGUUUUCGGGUUGUUUGGGGGGGAGGGGAUUUCCAAGGCUUUGGCGGGAAGCCGGCCUGGGAGGGUGGCCGGCCACAUUGGGCCUGAGGUACGGCCCAGACUCCUACGGGAGGCAGCAGUGGGGAAUAUUGCACAAUGGGCGGAAGCGUGAUGCAGCAGCGCCGCGUGCGGGAUGACGGCCUUCGGGUUGUAAACCGCUUUCGCCUGUGACGAAGCGUGAGUGACGGUAAUGGGUAAAGAAGCACCGGCUAACUACGUG
rnacentral:rRNA from 1 species